rnacentral:rRNA from 1 species
AGUGAACGCUGGCGGUAGGCCUAACACAUGCAAGUCGAACGGCAGCACAGUAAGAGCUUGCUCUUACGGGUGGCGAGUGGCGGACGGGUGAGGAAUACAUCGGAAUCUACUUUUUCGUGGGGGAUAACGUAGGGAAACUUACGCUAAUACCGCAUACGACCUACGGGUGAAAGCAGGGGAUCUUCGGACCUUGCGCGAUUGAAUGAGCCGAUGUCGGAUUAGCUAGUUGGCGGGGUAAAGGCCCACCAAGGCGACGAUCCGUAGCUGGUCUGAGAGGAUGGUCGGCCACACUGGAACUGAGACACGGUCCAGACUCCUACGGGAGGCAGCAGUGGGGAAUAUUGGACAAUGGGCGCAAGCCUGAUCCAGCCAUACCGCGUGGGUGAAGAAGGCCUUCGGGUUGUAAAGCCCCUUUGUUGGGAAAGAAAAGCAGCAGGUUAAUACCCCGCUGUUCUGACGGUACCCAAAGAAUAAGCACCGGCUAACUUCGUG